rnacentral:rRNA from 1 species
AUUGAACGCUGGCGGCAGGCCUAACACAUGCAAGUCGAGCGGAUGAGAAGAGCUUGCUCUUCGAUUCAGCGGCGGACGGGUGAGUAAUGCCUAGGAAUCUGCCUGGUAGUGGGGGAUAACGUUUCGAAAGGAACGCUAAUACCGCAUACGUCCUACGGGAGAAAGCAGGGGACCUUCGGGCCUUGCGCUAUCAGAUGAGCCUAGGUCGGAUUAGCUAGUUGGUGAGGUAAUGGCUCACCAAGGCUACGAUCCGUAACUGGUCUGAGAGGAUGAUCAGUCACACUGGAACUGAGACACGGUCCAGACUCCUACGGGAGGCAGCAGUGGGGAAUAUUGGACAAUGGGCGAAAGCCUGAUCCAGCCAUGCCGCGUGUGUGAAGAAGGUCUUCGGAUUGUAAAGCACUUUAAGUUGGGAGGAAGGGCAGUAAGCUAAUACCUUGCUGUUUUGACGUUACCGACAGAAUAAGCACCGGCUAACUCUGUGCCAGCAGCCGCGGUAAUACAGAGGGUGCAAGCGUUAAUCGGAAUUACUGGGCGUAAAGCGCGCGUAGGUGGUUUGUUAAGUUGGAUGUGAAAGCCCCGGGCUCAACCUGGGAACUGCAUCCAAAACUGGCAAGCUAGAGUAUGGUAGAGGGUGGUGGAAUUUCCUGUGUAGCGGUGAAAUGCGUAGAUAUAGGAAGGAACACCAGUGGCGAAGGCGACCACCUGGACUGAUACUGACACUGAGGUGCGAAAGCGUGGGGAGCAAACA